CAGUCGCCGCGGUAAGACAGAGGAUGCAAGCGUUAUCCGGAAUGAUUGGGCGUAAAGCGUCUGUAGGUGGCUUUUCAAGUCCGCCGUCAAAUCCUAGGGCUCAACCCUGGACAGGCGGUGGAAACUACCAAGCUGGAGUAUGGUAGGGGCAGAGGGAAUUUCCAGUGGAGUGGUGAAAUGCGUUGAGAUCGAAAAGAACACCAACGAUGAAAGCACUCUGCUGGGCCGACACUGACACUGAGAGACGAAAGCUAGGGGAGCAAAUGGGAUUAGAGACCCGCGUAGUCCCUGUCUCUUAUAC
rnacentral:rRNA from 1 species